rnacentral:tRNA from 1 species
CAGCUAGGAUAGUUUAACAAAACAUUAGGUAGUGACCCUAAUAAUAGAACUAACAAUUCUUCCCAGCC